UACGUAGGUGGCAAGCGUUGUCCGGAAUUAUUGGGCGUAAAGCGCGCGCAGGCGGUCCUUUAAGUCUGAUGUGAAAGCCCACGGCUCAACCGUGGAGGGUCAUUGGAAACUGGGGGACUUGAGUACAGAAGAGAAGAGUGGAAUUCCAGGUGUAGCGGUGAAAUGCGUAGAUAUCUGGAGGAACACCAAUUGCGAAGGCAGCUCGCUGGGACGUUACUGACGCUGAGACGCGAAAGCGUGGGGAGCAAACAGG
rnacentral:rRNA from 1 species